AAAUUUGGACAAUGGGGGCAACCCUGAUCCAGCCAUCCCGUGUGUGCGAUGAAGGCCUACGGGUUAUAAAGCACUUUUCGCAGGGAAGAAAAGGCUCCGCCUCAUACUUGGAGCUGCUGACGGUACCUGCAGAAUAACCACCUGCUAUCUACGUGCCAGCAGCCGUGGUAACACGUAGGGUGCAAGCUUUAAUCGGAAUUACUGGGCGUAAAGCGUGCGCAGGCGGUUCGGCAAGAAGGAUGUGAAAUCCCAGGGCUUAACCUUGGAACUGCAUUCUUAACUGCCGGGCUAGAGUAUGUCAGAGGGGGGUAGAAUUCCGCGUGUAGCAGUGAAAUGCGUAGAGAUGCGGAGGAAUACCGAUGGCGAAGGCAGCCCCCUGGGAUAAUACUGACGCUCAUGCACGAAAGCGUGGGGAGCAAAC
rnacentral:rRNA from 1 species